GGCCCAGCUCCUGGAUGUUACCGGCGCGACGGGUGAGUAACACGUGGGUAACCUGCCUGUAAGACUGGGAUAACUCCGGGGAAACCGGGGCUAAUACCGGAUGGUUGUUUGAACCGCAUGGUUCAAACAUAAAAGGUGGCUUCGGCUACCACUUACAGAUGGACCCGCGGCGCAUUAGCUAGUUGGUGAGGUAACGGCUCACCAAGGCAACGAUGCGUAGCCGACCUGAGAGGGUGAUCGGCCACACUGGGACUGAGACACGGCCCAGACUCCUACGGGAGGCAGCAGUAGGGAAUCUUCCGCAAUGGACGAAAGUCUGACGGAGCAACGCCGCGUGAGUGAUGAAGGUUUUCGGAUCGUAAAGCUCUGUUGUUAGGGAAGAACAAGUACCGUUCGAAUAGGGCGGUACCUUGACGGUACCUAACCAGAAAGCCACGGCUAACUACGUGCCAGCAGCCGCGGUAAUACGUAGGUGGCAAGCGUUGUCCGGAAUUAUUGGGCGUAAAGGGCUCGCAGGCGGUUUCUUAAGUCUGAUGUGAAAGCCCCCGGCUCAACCGGGGAGGGUCAUUGGAAACUGGGGAACUUGAGUGCAGAAGAGGAGAGUGGAAUUCCACGUGUAGCGGUGAAAUGCGUAGAGAUGUGGAGGAACACCAGUGGCGAAGGCGACUCUCUGGUCUGUAACUGACGCUGAGGAGCGAAAGCGUGGGGAGCGAACAGGAUA
rnacentral:rRNA from 1 species